CCGCCGCGGCCACGUCGGGAGAGCCCGAGUGGGGACUUCCGCGACGUGGGCGUCGUCGCCUCGCGCCUGGGCUGCUGAGGGAAGGGCCUCGUGCAGUUCUUCAAAUCCUUGCCACACUUCCUGCUCUGAACUAAGAGAUGACAGAACUGCUUUAUAUUCACCGUUGAAGAGAGCGAGAACAGCCUGCCUCCAAGCCACCGUGUGAAAGAAAGGAUUAUCCCCAGAGCGCCGGCUCAGACUGCCUGACCCAAGUAAAUACUUCCUGCGUCGUUGCCAUACAGAUCCUGGUGAUCCUCGAAGCCAGUUUCUUCUGUGAACUAGCUCUCACAGCCUGCGCCUGGAUAAUAACGAUGGCCUCCCCAUCGGUCUGCCCUCUGCUCUCCCUGGGUCUCUCUUGGUGCCGGGGAAGUCUUUGCCCUUCCAUGUUUGACGCCGUGCCCACUUUGCAGCUGAGUCGCAGUAACAAGGGAACCUUUGUCGCACCUGUCACUAUCUCCUGUUACAUCUCCAUGUGACACCACUCCUCAGAUCCCUAGUCUGUCACACAGCUUGCUGCAGUUCAGUGGGUAAAGGAAAACUCCAGGGCUGGGUCCAAAGCGGAUAGUGGGUGUGGGUUGAACACCCCGGCCUCAGCCUAGAGACGUGGAUCACAGAAAAGCCGCGCGGGUGGGCCCGCUGGCUCCGUCUGGCACCUGAAAGAGCGUGUUGCACGAGAGAAUCCAUCGAGAUAUGCCUCUUCUCAACUUUCAUUUUUCUCUACGGGAAAAUGUAUACAGGAUGAUUUGGGGGUCUGAUAGCCGUAUAGCUUACAAAUCAUUUAGGUCAAAUGUGUCUCCUCCCUGACUUCUACACCGAAAGAGGUGCCCAUGGUUCAUAGAGGCGUGAAAGUGCAGCUGGCUGUGCCUGGUACUAGCUCCCAAGGAGCUUGGCAGUCAGGCAGUCCUUGCUCUGACCCUGGCUCUUGACUCUCAGCUGGGUGAUCUUGGGUGACUUAAUUAACCUCUGAAAAACGACACAGAUCCUUACCUUAAAGGCCUAUUGGAAGAGUUACGUAAAAUCACGCCAGGGCUGUAUUAGAACAUGACCCCUCUAUGGCCUUGUAUGCCAUGGGUUCAUUUUUUUAAAAAAGAUUUUAUUUAUUUAUUUGAGAGGAAGAGUUACAGACAAUGAAAGGUAGAGACAGAGAGAGGUCUUCCUUCCAUUGGUUCACCUCCAAAUGGCCGCAAUGGCCGGAGCUGCGCCGAUCCGAAGCCAGGAGCCAGGUGCUUCUUCCAGGUCUUCCACAUGGGUGCAGGGGCCCAAGCACUUGGGUCAUCUUCCACUGCUUUCCCAGGCCACAGCAGAGAGCUGGAUUGGAAGAGGAGCAGCUGGGACUAGAACUGGCACCCAUAUGGGGUGCCGGCACUGCAGGCGGAGGAUUA